GCCCGGCUGGCGCAAUCGGUAGCGCGCAAGACUUCUACCGUCCUACUCAAUAGGAAACUUGCUCAAUCUUGAGGCUGUGGGUUCGAGUCCCACGUCGGGUG